rnacentral:rRNA from 1 species
UACGGAGGAUGCGAGCGUUAUCCGGAUUUAUUGGGUUUAAAGGGUGCGCAGGCGGGCUUUUAAGUCAGCGGUGAAAUCUCGAGGCUCAACCUCGAAAUUGCCGUUGAAACUGGGAACCUUGAGUAUAGAUGAAGUAGGCGGAAUUCGUUGUGUAGCGGUGAAAUGCAUAGAUAUAACGAGGAACCCCGAUUGCGUAGGCAGCUUACUAAACUAUAACUGACGCUCAAGCACGAAAGCGUGGGUAUCAAACAGG